AUAAAGUAGAAGCAGUUUCUGCAUUUAAGGGAUCAACCAUACAGUUGAAAUGUCCAUACAGCGUUUCUCCACAAAAUUCCGUAAAGUGGUUUAAAAAAGUUAAUGGUACAUUACAAACUUUUUCAAAGGCGACAGAGAUACAUCCACAAUUGGAAUUAGAAUUAAAAUCUAGAUUAAAAGUCACAGGUGAUCAUAGAAGAGGACAAUAUCAUCUGCGUAUAUAUGAUGUCAGAAAGAGUGAUGAAGGGACUUACCAGUGUUCACCUUCUGGUACAGUUAAAGCCUUGUAUUUACUACAACUAACUGUUAUAACCAAUAUACCAACAAGUGUGAGUAUAGAAAAUGUUGGGUUGGAGAAAAAAUUAAAUGGUAUAGAGGGACGAAAUCUGAUCAUAAGAUGUUCUGCAGCAGGUGGAGACCCUGCACCUGACGUGAAGUUACUGAUAUCAGAAUCUGUCGU